CAACGAGAAAGGCUCAAGAACCCCUUACAAAUCACUUGGUGAGGCCGGAAAUAAUCUCCAAUCACUUGGUGAGGCUCGAAACAACCUCCACUGCUCCAAUCCAUCUAGGGCAUCGGGAAACACCCAAGAGUAACAAGAAAUCCAUAGCAAAUUUAAAUAUCAAGUGCCAUUAGAUGCAACUCUCAAAGUAAUGCAUUUAAAUCUCACUAGGAUUAGCAAUCAAGUAAGGAGAUGAGCGGAGGGGGUGUUCUCUAGCUCAAAGUAUGUCUCAAGUAUUCAGAAUGGCGAGAGAGAGACCCCUAAACACGG
rnacentral:lncRNA from 1 species